UCGGAUGUGGUGCAUGGCGCGCACCCGCUCACCGUGACUUCGGAAUUCAUCGCAAGCGGGUUCCUGGGUUCGACCCCCAGCGUCCGAA